CUUUUAUGGAGAGUUUGAUCCUGGCUCAGGACGAACGCUGGCGGCGUGCCUAAUACAUGCAAGUCGAGCGAACAGAGAAGGAGCUUGCUCCUUUGACGUUAGCGGCGGACGGGUGAGUAACACGUGGGCAACCUACCUUAUAGUUUGGGAUAACUCCGGGAAACCGGGGCUAAUACCGAAUAAUCUAUU
rnacentral:rRNA from 1 species